UGCAGUCGAACGCUGAAGCCAGAAGCUUGCUUCUGGUGGAUGAGUGGCGAACGGGUGAGUAACACGUGAGUAACCUGCCCCCGAUUUCGGGAUAAGCCCGGGAAACUGGGUCUAAUACCGGAUACGACCUGCCCUCGCAUGAGGGUUGGUGGAAAGUUUUUCGAUCGGGGAUGGGCUCGCGGCCUAUCAGCUUGUUGGUGGGGUAAUGGCCUACCAAGGCGACGACGGGUAGCCGGCCUGAGAGGGCGACCGGCCACACUGGGACUGAGACACGGCCCAGACUCCUACGGGAGGCAGCAGUGGGGAAUAUUGCACAAUGGGGGAAACCCUGAUGCAGCGACGCAGCGUGCGGGAUGACGGCCUUCGGGUUGUAAACCGCUUUCAGCAGGGAAGAAGCCGUAAGGUGACGGUACCUGCAGAAGAAGUACCGGCUAACUACGUGCCAGCAGCCGCGGUAAUACGUAGGGUACGAGCGUUGUCCGGAAUUAUUGGGCGUAAAGAGCUCGUAGGUGGUUGGUCACGUCUGCUGUGGAAACGCAACGCUUAACGUUGCGCGUGCAGUGGGUACGGGCUGACUAGAGUGCAGUAGGGGAGUCUGGAAUUCCUGGUGUAGCGGUGAAAUGCGCAGAUAUCAGGAGGAACACCGGUGGCGAAGGCGGGACUCUGGGCUGUAACUGACACUGAGGA
rnacentral:rRNA from 1 species